rnacentral:lncRNA from 1 species
UCACAUAGCAUGCAGAGGCAAUAUGCCAUGGAAGAAACCAGUGCAGGAUAGUGAAUUCUGCUGUGAGAUUACAUUUUGAGCUUAACAAACGUUGAAUUUAUUACAAGCAUCAAGCGAAUGGUUUUUUCAAAUAUAGAGAUAGGCAAAUAAUGUCCAGAGGAUUUGAUGCAUCGCAAAGCCAUUCAUGGGGACGGGCAGGCACUGUUUUGCUGCAGUGUAGAUAUAACUGUAGGCAAAGUGGACCGUGGUCCAUUUCAAUCAGGUGUUAGCUGCUUCAAUCCAGACACGCCUUUUUCACACGCCUCUUAUGCCACGGCUUCUACAGGGAACUGGUGUCGCUGUAACUCAAAAGCCUUGUAAGUUUCUUCUAAAGGCUCUCAAUUUCUUUUCAUUGUUUUAACAAUGGAUUAGUACUAGAGUCAUCAACUCUCUUAGAGUUGAGUGGUAUCAACCUAGUCGAAGCCAAUUGUAAAAUAUAAUUUGACCUCCUGCAUGUACUGAUUUGUCUAGUGCGCAACAAUUAAUGACGAGGUGCUUCAAUUUUGUUUGGCAGCUUUGAUACCUGUGUCUAUCCGCCCGCUCUGCGAGAAAGCUUAAGUCGACAAUUAGAGGGAAUAGUUUAUUUGAAAUUGCUUUGCUUUUAUGAUGUACUCUCAGUGCUAAUUAAUUACAAUUGCUUUUCUAAUUGAUAUACAACUAGUCUCGUGUUACAAUGACUGAACUUCAGUUAACAAAAAAAAAGAAAAUAAUCAAUUGGGCUCUUUCCCUUUUUCUUUCCCGCAAGUAGAGUAUCAGAACAUGUCAAUUUUCUCGCCUCUGGUUAAAGUGAAGGUAGCUGGAACAGACUCUUCCAUGUGCGUUGAAGUCGCUGUAGGCAUUAUCUGGUUGGCUGUUAUAGCCU